GGAAGUAAGAGUCGUAACAAGGUUUCCGUAGGUGAACCUGCGGAAGGAUCAUUCAUAAUAAAGUGUUUUAUGGCACUUUUUAAAAAUCCAUAUCCACCUUGUGUGCAAUGUUAGAUCUCGUCAAUCUUGGCGAGAUUUUUAUGCAUCAACUCAUUCUUUAACUAAUUUGUCUGAAAAAUAUUAUGAAUACUUAAUUCAAAAUACAACUUUCAACAACGGAUCUCUUGGCUCUC
rnacentral:misc_RNA from 1 species